CUUGGUCAUUAGAGGAAGUAAAAGUCGUAACAAGGUCUCCGUAGGUGAACCUGCGGAGGAUCAUUACCGAGUUCAUGCCCUUACGGGUAGAUCUCCCACCCUAUGUUUAUUCCCUUUGUUGCUUUGGCAGGCCGUCAGGCUUCGGUCAGGCUACCGGUCCGGCUGGUAAGCGCCCGCCAGAGGACCCUAAACUCUGAAUAUUAGUGCGUCUGAGUACUAUAAAAUAGUUAAAACUUUCAACAACGGAUCUCUUGGUCUGGCAUCGAUGAAGAACGCAGCGAAAUGCGAUAAGUAAUGUGAAUUGAGAAUUCAGUGAAUCAUCGAAUCUUUGAACGCACAUUGCGCCCCUUGGUUUCCGAGGGGCAUGCCUGUUCGAGCGUCAUUACAACCCUCAAGCACUGCUGGUGUUGGGCCUUGCCGGUUUUGGCGGGCCUUAAAAUCAGUGGCGGCGCGUCUGGGCUCUGAGCGUAGUAAAUAUCCUCGCUACGGAGACCAGGCGGUGUUGUCAUCAACCCCCAACUUCUUAAGUUUGACCUCGGAUCAGGUAGGAUACCCGCUGAACUUAAGCUUCUAAUAGAAACCGGAUGCAAAGGGGGGA
rnacentral:rRNA from 1 species